rnacentral:rRNA from 1 species
CUACGUGCCAGCAGCCGCGGUAAUACGUAGGGUGCGAGCGUUAAUCGGAAUUACUGGGCGUAAAGCGAGCGCAGACGGUUACUUAAGCAGGAUGUGAAAUCCCCGGGCUCAACCUGGGAACUGCGUUCUGAACUGGGUGACUAGAGUGUGUCAGAGGGAGGUAGAAUUCCACGUGUAGCAGUGAAAUGCGUAGAGAUGUGGAGGAAUACCGAAGGCGAAGGCAGCCCCUUGGGAAUGUACUGACGCUCAUGUGCGAAAGCGUGGGGAGCAAGCAGGAUUAGAUACCCUGGUAGUCCACGCUGUAAACGAUGUCGAUUUGGGGGUUGAACUAUAAGUUUGGCGCCCGUAGCUAACGUGAUAAAUCGACCGCCUGGGGAGUACGGCCGCAAGGUUAAAACUCAAAUGAAUUGACGGGGGCCCGCACAAGCGGUGGAGCAUGUGGUUUAAUUCGAUGCAACGCGAAGAACCUUACCUACUCUUGACAUCCAGAGAACAUUC